rnacentral:rRNA from 1 species
UACGGAGGGAGCUAGCGUUAUUCGGAAUUACUGGGCGUAAAGCGCACGUAGGCGGUCUUUUAAGUCGGGGGUGAAAUCCUGGAGCUCAACUCCAGAACUGCCUCGAUACUGGAAGACUCGAGUUCCGGGGAGAGGUGAGUGGAACUGCGAGUGUAGAGGUGAAAUUCGUAGAUAUUCGCAAGAACACCAGUGGCGAAGGCGGCUCACUGGCCCGGUACUGACGCUGAGGUGCGAAAGCG